rnacentral:rRNA from 1 species
UACGUAAGGGGGUCGCAGCGUUGCUCGGAAUCACUGGGCGUAAAGGGUGCGUAGGCGGGUCUUUAAGUCAGGGGUGAAAUCCUGGAGCUCAACUCCAGAACUGCCUUUGAUACUGAGGAUCUUGAGUUCGGGAGAGGUGAGUGGAACUGCGAGUGUAGAGGUGAAAUUCGUAGAUAUUCGCAAGAACACCAGUGGCGAAGGCGGCUCACUGGCCCGAUACUGACGCUGAGGCACGAAAGCGUGGGGAGCAAACAGG